rnacentral:rRNA from 1 species
CAAAAGCGUAUAUUAAAGUUGUUGCAGUUAAAAAGCUCGUAGUUGAACCUUGGGCUUGGCUGGCCGGUCCAUCUUUUUUGAUGCGUACUGGACCCAGCCGAGCCUUUCCUUCUGGCUAGCCUUUUGGCGAACCAGGACUUUUACUUUGAAAAAAUUAGAGUGUUCAAAGCAGGCCUUUGCUCGAAUAUAUUAGCAUGGAAUAAUAGAAUAGGACGUUAUGGUUCUAUUUUGUUGGUUUCUAGGACCAUCGUAAUGAUUAGUAGGGACGGUCGGGGGUAUCAGUAUUCAGUUGUCAGAGGUGAAAUUCUUGGAUUUACUGAAGACUAACUACUGCGAAAGCAUUUACCAAGGACGUUUUCAUUAA